AAAAAAGUCUUACCCUGCAUAGAACAUUGUGAUACAGUUUUUGAGUUGCAGUUGGAAAGGACUCGUACUAUUGUGUAUUUUUAUGCUUUAUACCUUUUUGUAAAACGGUGCUGGUGAAGGUGACGAUGCAGUCUAGGUUGGAAGAUUCUUAAACAGGAAACUGAAGGCAAUACUGAAUCGACAGAGAGGAAUAUUAUAGAAACCUUGUUUUCUCAAGAGGACAAUGGGAGUGUAGGCUGCUGGAAGCACUUUUAUUUCUUUUUCUUUGAGUUCUCAUUAUUAAAUAAUAAAGCAUGCUCUUCUCUGCUUUAGCAAAUCAGUGUCAUCAAAUAAGCCAGCAUAAUUAGACUCACGGAUUCCAGCCUGAAUUUCUGGUCAGCAAAAAUGUUAAAGCAAAUCAAAACCAAAAUACUCUCAGUUCGCUUUUCUGAACUGUAACACUAAUAUAAUUUUUCUUUUCAGGAAGGAGAAUGUUCUUGUUUAUGGUUUCCUUUGAUCAAUUACCUCAGAUCAUUCCCAAUGUUAAAAAAAAAAUAGUCUUGACUAGAAUCCUGCUUCAGCAUUUGGGACUGAUGCUGAAAGUAGUCUAGAAGCAUCGGAUCUUUCGCGUGUUUUGCGACGGAAGAGGAAAGUACCUGUCGGCAAUAAGCACUUGUGAGAUUAAAUCAGAUGACGUUUGUGAAGUGCCCACAUACAGGAGUGCCGUUAUCCAUAGAACUGUAGGAAUAUUCACAUUCUUUGUAUCACUGAAUCACUCUUCAAUUAUUGAAUUAUUUGAAUAAUACGUGGACGUGUUUCAUUCUUUUGUGGAUCCACAAGGUAAUAUCAUAAGCUAAGUACGUCCCCACUUUUGUUUG